rnacentral:rRNA from 1 species
GACGAACGCUGGCGGCGUGCUUAACACAUGCAAGUCGAACGGAAAGGCCCUGCUUUUGUGGGGUGCUCGAGUGGCGAACGGGUGAGUAACACGUGAGUAACCUGCCCUUGACUUUGGGAUAACUUCAGGAAACUGGGGCUAAUACCGGAUAGGAGCACCUGCUGCAUGGUGGGGGUUGGAAAGUUUCUGCGGUUGGGGAUGGACUCGCGGCUUAUCAGCUUGUUGGUGGGGUAGUGGCUUACCAAGGCUUUGACGGGUAGCCGGCCUGAGAGGGUGACCGGCCACAUUGGGACUGAGAUACGGCCCAGACUCCUACGGGAGGCAGCAGUGGGGAAUAUUGCACAAUGGGCGGAAGCCUGAUGCAGCAACGCCGCGUGCGGGAUGACGGCCUUCGGGUUGUAAACCGCUUUCGCCUGUGACGAAGCGUGAGUGACGGUAAUGGGUAAAGAAGCACCGGCUAACUACGUG